UCUUGUGCAAACCUCGGGGUGGG
rnacentral:piRNA from 1 species